GCCCACGCAGGUGUUUCCCAGGUAGCGCCUGUUCUGGCUCAGUUGCGCUUCUGCGCAGUAGCGAGCAGGAGGGAGUUCGCAGUGCUUAGUGGAAGCGAUUUCACAGUGGUUGUGGGGAUCUCACAAUGCGAUCCUGUAGAUCCCACAUUUACCCUCCACCCCCCGGAAUGUCGGUAGACACCCGACAGCAAAAAUUGGCCAGGGCCAGGAAAAAGCACAAAUUUCCAACUGGAAGGGGACUAAGGACUACGGAAUUUAGGACUGAGAGGUUUCCGGCUCCCUGACUCUGUUAACUUAGACGUUUGCAGUACGAAAAGCCUGCACUUCACCAACAAGUGAAAAACGUUGCCAGUAUCUCUGGGUGGCAAUGGGAGAGCGGGUUUGGUUUGGUUUUCUCCCAGGUUUCCGCUCUCCAGAGAGACUUCACAAUUUUUUCCUGAAUUCUCUACCUCACGUUCACUCAGUGCUCUCUGGCAUGAGAUCUACUUACCUUCUGUAGAACAGAUCCCGAGAAACUGAACUUCACAGCCUUGAUCUUCCCCGAAUCCCCUUCUCAACCUGGGGUUCCCUGAGCGCCACGGGGUAUCUUUCUGAAGCAUCAGUUUUGCCUGAUUUUCCUGAGAGAGGAAAAACACUAAUGUACUUACGGAUGGUGUUUGCAUAGAUUUGUAAAAUUAUAAUGGUCCUCUCUCUGAAAUGCUGCUUGGCUUGUCCUAGGUUCACGAGGGGUGUGCCUUCACUAUCCUCUGCGUUAGGAUACGUUGCAAAGUUGGGGAAGUGCUGGUGUGCAGCCCUAACACCUGUUUGGCAGAGUAUCAACUGAAGCACAGCCUCCCAUCAUCUUAUAUAAAGAACAAAAAGAAAAAAGUUAAACAUGGCGGUAGCUCUGAAACAACUGCUACUGAUGAUGGUUGCUGCCCACCUAAGCAUGAUUUUCUCAUCGACUGAGAGCGUGCGACAACUUUCUCAGCAUAUCAAUCCUCUUGUGUCUGAGUCUACAUCCUACAUCAAUGGAGUGGGCCUUUCAUCGUCCAUCAACCUGAAGGAAAUGGAGGUAAGUGGCCCUCAACUGUGGCCCAGUGACCCUGCAGGCCACCCCUGACCUCCUCCCACAGUAGGGGCUGGGUGCCCCUCUGCCAGCUGAGACAGCCCACAGACCCCCAACUCUACUGAUUGCUCUCUCUACCCCUCCCCCAA